rnacentral:misc_RNA from 1 species
UGUGCGCCAUAGCGGCGGCCGCGGG